rnacentral:rRNA from 1 species
UACGGAGGAUGCGAGCGUUAUCCGGAUUUAUUGGGUUUAAAGGGUGCGCAGGCGGCACGGCAAGCCGGCGGUCAAAUCGCGGGGCUCAACCCCGCCCAGCCGUCGGAACUGCCGGGCUAGAGUGGGCGAGAAGUGCGCGGAAUGCGUGGUGUAGCGGUGAAAUGCAUAGAUAUCACGCAGAACUCCGAUUGCGAAGGCAGCGCACCGGCGCCCUACUGACGCUCAGGCACGAAAGCGUGGAGAGCAAACAGG